GACGAACGCUGGCGGCGUGCUUAACACAUGCAAGUCGAGCGAGGCCCCUCCUUCGGGAGGGUGUCCUAGCGGCGAACGGGUGAGUAACACGUGGGCAACCUGCCCUCAGCUAUGGGAUAACUCCGGGAAACCGGGGCUAAUACCGGAUACGACCUCCACGGGCAUCUGCGGAGGUGGAAAGUUUUUCGGCUGAGGAUGGGCCCGCGGCCUAUCAGCUAGUUGGUGGGGUAGUGGCCCACCAAGGCGACGACGGGUAGCCGGCCUGAGAGGGGGACCGGCCACACUGGGACUGAGACACGGCCCAGACUCCUACGGGAGGCAGCAGUGGAGAAUAUUGCGCAAUGGGCGAAAGCCUGACGCAGCGACGCCGCGUGAGGGACGAAGGCCUUCGGGUUGUAAACCUCUUUCAGCAGGGACGAAGCGAAAGUGACGGUACCUGCAGAAGAAGCACCGGCCAACUACGUG
rnacentral:rRNA from 1 species